UUGCCCAUCGGGGCCUCGGAUACCUGCUUUUAUUAUU
rnacentral:ncRNA from 1 species